rnacentral:rRNA from 1 species
GACGAACGCUGGCGGCGUGCUUAACACAUGCAAGUCGAACGGAAAGGCCCUGCUUUUGUGGGGUGCUCGAGUGGCGAACGGGUGAGUAACACGUGAGUAACCUGCCCUUGACUUUGGGAUAACUUCAGGAAACUGGGGCUAAUACCGGAUAGGCGCUCCUGCUGCAUGGUGGGGGUUGGAAAGUUUCGGCGGUUGGGGAUGGACUCGCGGCUUAUCAGCUUGUUGGUGGGGUAGUGGCUUACCCAGGCUUAGACGGGUAGCCGGCCUGGGAGGGUGACCGGCCACAUUGGGACUACGAGACGGCCCAGAGUCCAACGGGAGGCAGCAGUGGGGAAUAUUGCACAAUGGGCGGAAGCCUGAUGCAGCAACGCCGCGGGCGGGAUGACGGCCUUCGGGUUGAAAACCGCUUUCGCCUGUGACGAAGCGUGAGUGACGGUAAUGGGUAAAGAAGCACCGGCUAACUACGUG